AUUGAACGCUGGCGGCAUGCCUUACACAUGCAAGUCGAACGGCAGCGCGGGGCAACCUGGCGGCGAGUGGCGAACGGGUGAGUAAUAUAUCGGAACGUACCCUGGAGUGGGGGAUAACGUAGCGAAAGUUACGCUAAUACCGCAGACGAUCUAAGGAUGAAAGUGGGGGAUCGCAAGACCUCAUGCCCCUGGAGCGGCCGAUAUCUGAUUAGCUAGUUGGUGGGGUAAAGGCCUACCAAGGCAUCGAUCAGUAGCUGGUCUGAGAGGACGACCAGCCACACUGGAACUGAGACACGGUCCAGACUCCUACGGGAGGCAGCAGUGGGGAAUUUUGGACAAUGGGCGCAAGCCUGAUCCAGCAAUGCCGCGUGAGUGAAGAAGGCCUUCGGGUUGUAAAGCUCUUUUGUCAGGGAAGAAACGGUGAGGGCUAAUAUCCCUUGCUAAUGACGGUACCUGAAGAAUAAGCACCGGCUAACUACGUGCCAGCAGCCGCGGUAAGAC
rnacentral:rRNA from 1 species